GGCGCUGUGGCUUAGUUGUUUAAAGUGCCUGUCUAGUAAACAGGAGGUCCUGAGUUCAGCUCUCAUCAGUGCCU
rfam:Xenopus tropicalis strain Nigerian Chr03_contig_3521, whole genome shotgun sequence.